rnacentral:rRNA from 1 species
GCGGCGAACGGGUGAGUAACACGUGGGUGAUCUGCCUCGUACUUCGGGAUAAGCCUGGGAAACUGGGUCUAAUACCGGAUAUGACCUUCGGAUGCAUGUCUGAGGGUGGAAAGAUUUAUCGGUACGAGAUGGGCCCGCGGCCUAUCAGCUUGUUGGUGGGGUAAUGGCCUACCAAGGCGACGACGGGUAGCCGGCCUGAGAGGGCGACCGGCCACACUGGGACUGAGACACGGCCCAGACUCCUACGGGAGGCAGCAGUGGGGAAUAUUGCACAAUGGGCGAAAGCCUGAUGCAGCGACGCCGCGUGAGGGAUGACGGCCUUCGGGUUGUAAACCUCUUUCGACAGGGACGAAGCGCAAGUGACGGUACCUGUAGAAGAAGCACCGGCCAACUACGUGCCAGCAGCCGCGGUAAUACGUAGGGUGCGAGCGUUGUCCGGAAUUACUGGGCGUAAAGAGCUUGUAGGCGGUUCGUCGCGUCGUUCGUGAAAACUUGGGGCUCAACCCCAAGCUUGCGGGCGAUACGGGCGGACUAGAGUACUUCAGGGGAGACUGGAAUUCCUGGUGUAGCGGUGAAAUGCGCAGAUAUCAGGAGGAACACCGGUGGCGAAG